AUGCGGUGCGCGCGGGCGGCCGCGGCGGUUGCGGUUUCAGGGGGAGGAGGCGAUGCUGGGACGGGGAUCACCGCCGCGGCGGCGGCCACCGUGGCGCUCGCGGUGAUGAACCGGGUGCUGUACAAGCUUGCGCUCGUGCCCAUGAAGAAUUACCCCUUCUUCCUCGCGCAAGUUCUCACGUUUGGGUAUGUUGUAGUGUACUUCUCUAUUCUCUUCGUAAGAUAUCAGGCCGGUAUUGUCACUAAAGAAAUGCUAGCGCUUCCAAAAUCGCGCUUCAUGUUAAUUGGACUGCUAGAAGCAAUGGGUGUUGCUUCAGGCAUGGCUGCUGCAGCUAUGUUGCCUGGGCCAUCUAUUCCAGUGCUGUCUCAGUCUUUUCUGGUAUGGCAGCUUAUUUUGUCAGUCAUCGUUUUGGGAAGGAAAUAUAGGGCAAACCAAAUUCUUGGAUGCUUGCUUGUUACAACUGGAGUAAUUCUAUCAGUAGUAAGUGGAGCAAACGGUGGUUCAUCUCUGUCUGAUGUCAAGUUUUUUUGGCCAGCAGUUUUGAUGGCUUCAUCUGCAUGUCAGGCUGGUGCAUCUAUAAUCAAGGAAUUUGUUUUCAUUGAUGGUGCAAAACGCCUUGAGGGAAAGCGGCCUGACAUAUUUGUGGUCAACUCUUUUGGGUCAGGAUUCCAGGCUCUUUUUGUUUUGCUACUCCUGCCGUUUCUCUCUAAUUUGAAAGGCAUUCCGUUGACUGAGCUCCCUGCAUAUGUAAACCGUGGUGCUGCAUGCUUUCUGAAUGUUGGUGGUGGUAAUCUGAACGAUUGUCCUGGAGCCCCUUUGCUACCACUGCUCUUCAUAACUAUGAACAUGGCCUUCAACAUUUCUGUGCUAAAUCUGGUGAAGAUGUCUACAGCACUGGUUGCUUCGCUAACAGCAACACUAGCAGUACCUCUUUCGAUAUACGUUCUGUCACUUCCUCUUCCAUACAUGCCUGGAGGAACAAGUUUAAGCACAUCCUUUUUGGUUGGCGCUGCUGUCUUGGUGCUUGGGUUGCUCCUAUACAACCUUCCUCAGAACUCAGCUGAUCAAGUGAAGACAGAGUGA
rnacentral:rRNA from 1 species